UUUUUUCCUAGAAAACACCACAAAUAUCGGUUCUUAAGAAGGACACGAUUCAAAAACAAUAGGCAUAGGAGGACAGCUUUAAAGAGUAGUGUACGUUAUGAUCAAAAAAAAACCUUCAUUACUUGAAGAGAUUUCAAAGGAAUGAACGUGGCUGUUUUACUUGCGUUAUGCUCAUAAAUAUAAGGCGCAUUGAAGAAGAAAAUAACGUUACCUUGAAAAGAUGAUGGAUGACUUGUUGAACGGAGAUUUGUUGAUGAAACCAUUGUUUUUGUAUAGAAUCCAAUUUGGUGAGAUGCUGAAUUUUUCUGUUCAAAUAAGCCUCUUGAUCUUGUAAUUCUUGUGUGGAUAUUCUACAAUGAUUCUGUGAUCAUUCAAAUUUUUUUUCUUCUAAUCUACUUGAGAAGGCACACACUUUGGUGCAGGGCGUUCAUAGUGUUGGUGAGAUUUUCCUUUUUGUCAUGGAGUCUUUUUUUCAAAAACGUUACAACAGAACGAAGCGUCGACUCCAUUUCAACGGUGACUGGAAACAAGGCUUCCUCUAAUGUUUCCUUCAAUACCUUUUGUAGAGAACUCGCUUGAGACUGCAUGUCGCUUGUGUCUUUGGAUUUCGAAAAUUGUUCAAGUGAAUCAGAAUGCAAUGGAGACUGAGAUAAGCUCGGAAUCAAGGCUGCACUGGAAAUCGGUAGGUCCGAAAGACUCGAGUUUUGGGUGGUUCUUUUUAAUGAUUGGGUGUCAAAAGAAUCAUGAGGGACGUUUUCCACAAAGUCAGUGCUUUUGUGGGGCUCAUUUUUCCUCAUGUCCAGUGGAGUAUUGUGGCACGGCGUCCUGGUUUGAUUAAUAGCGUACGUUGAAACAGUAGGCGUUCCAUUGAAAUCUUUAUUUUCCGCAUUGAUUUGAUCAUGAAUAUCAGAGUGGCAAGGGGUCGACUCGGCGUUACUUAAGGAAAAAGUUUGUGUGAAAGACGCGUUGGGUCCGUCCGUCGUACAAAAGGGUGCUGUGUUUUGUGACUCUUGAGGAGAAACAAGUUGAGUGAGUGUUGUUUUUUGUUUUUUUCUGAAAAAAGUAAACAAAUACAUUAAGAAGAAUGGGAAAGUUGAUCUUACACAAUCACCAACCUAUCAAGUUUUUUUAAAGUGCUACUACAAGUAUAAAACGGGUAACUAAUAUAAGCGGUCAUAGAACACACGGUCACUAACACAAGCUUUGGUAGCAUUUUACCCUUCUUGGAUCUCUUACUGCUUGAAAAGACUGCUUGAUCUUUUCUUUUUAAAGGUACUGAGCGUACGGAUGGCGCAUUGAAUUUCCUGAAAACUUUUUGAAAAAUAUUUCUUCGUCCGUGCGUCAACCCUUUCAAAAGAAGGUCCAUUGUUCUUUUCACAAAAAAUAUAAAGUGACGGGUUUUAAUUGUAUGGUGCGUUCGUUUUGAAAAAUUGGAUCAAGUAGAUGAUUUUGCAAAGUUGGUUCAAUCCAUCAAAAAAAAAAUUAUCUUUUGUCCGAAAUGGAAAAAAAACAACCGUGUACAGUUGAAUUGAACAAGUGUGUUUUGUGAGAGAAACAAAAGCAACACGACUAGAAUUUUUCUUUCCCUAGCCACUUCAAGUCCAAAAACAAAAUAUGCGUAGUUGACUUGAACUCACACUACUAACGUUUAAAAAUUUGUCAAACUUAUGUGUUAUCAAGAUUUUUUUUUUAA